rnacentral:rRNA from 1 species
CCUACGGGAGGCAGCAGUAAGGAAUAUUGGACAAUGGGCGCAAGCCUGAUCCAGCCAUGCCGCGUGAAGGAUUAAGGUCCUCUGGAUUGUAAACUUCUUUUAUAGGGGACGAAAAAAGGGCAUUCUUGUUCACUUGACGGUACCCUAUGAAUAAGCACCGGCUAACUCCGUGCCAGCAGCCGCGGUAAUACGGAGGGUGCAAGCGUUAUCCGGAUUCACUGGGUUUAAAGGGUGCGUAGGCGGGCAGGUAAGUCAGUGGUGAAAUCCUAGAGCUUAACUCUAGAACUGCCAUUGAUACUAUCUGUCUUGAAUAUUGUGGAGGUAAGCGGAAUAUGUCAUGUAGCGGUGAAAUGCUUAGAUAUGACAUAGAACACCUAUUGCGAAGGCAGCUUACUACGCAUAUAUUGACGCUGAGGCACGAAAGCGUGGGGAUCAAACAGGAUUAGAUACCCUGGUAGUCCACGCCCUAAACGAUGGAUACUCGACAUACGCGAUACACUGUGUGUGUCUGAGCGAAAGCAUUAAGUAUCCCACCUGGAAGUACGUCCGCAAGGAUGAAACUUAAAUGAAUUGACGG